rnacentral:lncRNA from 1 species
UGGACUUGAUCCAGUUGUUUGACAGGUAGAGAUAACUCAUACCGUUGAGUUCGAAUCAGUGCACUUAUGGAGUGUUGUCCGGUAAGCUGCCGAAGCUUAUUGUGAACGGAUAAGAGGAAUCGAGGUCGAUCCUGCUAAAAAAGAAAAAGAAAAAAAAAGAAGAAGAAAAAAAGAACAGUGCAAGAAACGCCUGAACCAAAAACAAACAAAAAAAAAGGAGAGAAAAGAAAUCAAAUGGUCAGGUGGAAUGGUGACUGCCAAGGGGCAUGGAAAGGAAAAU